rnacentral:ribozyme from 14 species
AAAGUGGCGCAACUUUUGAGAAAAACAGCAAGGAAGGAAGGUGCUGUUGGAUUAGCAGCACAGCAAUGUGGCAUUGAUGCAAGUUUAAUCUUUUUAGAUACCACCCCGCCUACCAAUAAAAGACUAUGGAACAGCAAAAGGAAGAAUACG